GACGAAGGGGGCUAGCGUUGUUCGGAAUUACUGGGCGUAAAGCGCGUGUGGGCGGUUGUUCAAGUCAGGUGUGAAAGCCUUGAGCUCAACUCAAGAAAUACACUUGAUACUGGAUGACUAGAGGACCGGAGAGGAUAGUGGAAUUCCCAGUGUAGUGGUGAAAUACGUAGAGAUUGGGAAGAACACCAGUGGCGAAGGCGGCUAUCUGGACGGUUUCUGACGCUAAGACGCGAAAGCGUGGGGAGCAAACAGG
rnacentral:rRNA from 1 species